CUUUGGGGUGUGACUGCGUACCUUUUGUAUAAUGGGUCAGCGACUUAUAUUCUGUAGCAAGGUUAACCGUAUAGGGGAGCCGGAGGGAAACCGAGUCUUAAUUGGGCGUUAAGUUGCAGGGUAUAGACCCGAAACCCGGUGAUCUAGCCAUGGGCAGGUUGAAGGUUGGGUAACACUAACUGGAGGACCGAACCGACUAAUGUUGAAAAAUUAGCGGAUGACCUGUGGCUGGGGGUGAAAGGCCAAUCAAACCGGGAGAUAGCUGGUUCUCCCCGAAAGCUAUUUAGGUAGCGCCUCGUGAACUCAUCUCCGGGGGUAGAGCACUGUUUCGGCUAGGGGGCCAUCCCGGCUUACCAACCCGAUGCAAACUGCGAAUACCGGAGAAUGUUAUCACGGGAGACACACGGCGGGUGCUAACGUCCGUCGUGAAGAGGGAAACAACCCAGACCGCCAGCUAAGGUCCCAAAGUCAUGGUUAAGUGGGAAACGAUGUGGGAAGGCCCAGACAGCCAGGAUGUUGGCUUAGAAGCAGCCAUCAUUUAAAGAAAGCGUAAUAGCUCACUGGUCGAGUCGGCCUGCGCGGAAGAUGUAACGGGGCUAAACCAUGCACCGAAGCUGCGGCAGCGACGCUGAUGCGUUGUUGGGUAGGGGAGCGUUCUGUAAGCCUGUGAAGGUGGCCUGUGAGGGUUGCUGGAGGUAUCAGAAGUGCGAAUGCUGACAUAAGUAACGAUAAAGCGGGUGAAAAGCCCGCUCGCCGGAAGACCAAGGGUUCCUGUCCAACGUUAAUCGGGGCAGGGUGAGUCGACCCCUAAGGCGAGGCCGAAAGGCGUAGUCGAUGGGAAACGGGUUAAUAUUCCCGUACUUGGUGUUACUGCGAAGGGGGGACGGAGAAGGCUAUGUUGGCCGGGCGACGGUUGUCCCGGUUUAAGCGUGUAGGUGUGUGUUCCAGGUAAAUCCGGUUCACUUUAACACUGAGGCGUGACGACGAGGCACUACGGUGCUGAAGCAACAAAUGCCCUGCUUCCAGGAAAAGCCUCUAAGCAUCAGGUAACAUCAAAUCGUACCCCAAACCGACACAGGUGGUCAGGUAGAGAAUACCAAGGCGCUUGAGAGAACUCGGGUGAAGGAACUAGGCAAAAUGGUGCCGUAACUUCGGGAGAAGGCACGCUGACAUGUAGGUGAAGUGAUUUACUCAUGGAGCUGAAGUCAGUCGAAGAUACCAGCUGGCUGCAACUGUUUAUUAAAAACACAGCACUGUGCAAACACGAAAGUGGACGUAUACGGUGUGACGCCUGCCCGGUGCCGGAAGGUUAAUUGAUGGGGUCAGCGCAAGCGAAGCUCCUGAUCGAAGCCCCGGUAAACGGCGGCCGUAACUAUAACGGUCCUAAGGUAGCGAAAUUCCUUGUCGGGUAAGUUCCGACCUGCACGAAUGGCGUAAUGAUGGCCAGGCUGUCUCCACCCGAGACUCAGUGAAAUUGAACUCGCUGUGAAGAUGCAGUGUACCCGCGGCAAGACGGAAAGACCCCGUGAACCUUUACUAUAGCUUGACACUGAACAUUGAGCCUUGAUGUGUAGGAUAGGUGGGAGGCUUUGAAGUGUGGACGCCAGUCUGCAUGGAGCCGACCUUGAAAUACCACCCUUUAAUGUUUGAUGUUCUAACGUGGACCCGU
rnacentral:rRNA from 1 species